UUAGAUCCCAUACCCAGACCCAUGUUAUGUCCGGGUAUAAGGACAGGACAAUACUACUGAAUUCUAGUUCAUCCAUGUUAUAGCAACACUGUAAUAGAUAUUUCAGUCAUCAUGGGUGGUGUAACAAGGAGCCUUAGGCCUCUUACCUUGUUUGGUGCAUUGCUUCUGUAAAUCUGAAAUGCACAUUGUUAAGUUUCUUAUAUACAAGUCAGGUAAAAACAUAUGCAGCCUUGCAAACUGAUAGUUUAGAUUUUAGAUACAAAUUAGUAAUUCUAUUGUUGUACCCGCACUUACUUAUGAAUCUGUGCGCCAUAACCAGUUUUGCUCAUUUAAGUUUAUGUAUAAACUACAAUAUAUGCUCAGAAGCCAUUGAAGACUGUAAAAUCUUUGAAAUAGUCUCAUGAUUAUUCUAACAUUGUAAUCUGUUUGCAACAUUUCUUGUUUGUACUUAAAAUCAUUUGCCACUUCAACUAUAUAUGUUUGAUUUGACGUGUUAUAUUGGUCCAAUGUAAUUUUGUGCUGUUGUCCAGUCUACUGGUUCUAGCUCAUGAAUUCCAAGUACUUGUCCUGUAAAAAAGAGCUGAAGAAUUCUCACGUGCAUCAGAGAUUUUAGUAAAAGAUUUUCCCUGUUAGACUGCUGAAAGCUCUGCACCACUUACAGUGUCGAAAUCUUACAGAGGCAUUAAGAUACAGAGGGUUGCAGCAAGCGCAAUCUACAAGCAAAAGGAAUGCUGCAGCAGAAGUUUGGAGAGAUGUUGCAAGUUGCAGCAUACACGGCUUCACGUAUAUCCUGAACCACCUUACACAGCGGUCAAUCNUAAUAACUUUUAGUGGCUGAAAAGAAGUCUAACAUUUGAAAUAGCUUAAUUGAGAUCGAAGAUGAGCCAAAGGCAACAAUUGGAAGAAAACAGACACAACGAUGAUGUCGCACUUUCCAAUUUCUUGGCAUCCUUAAUGGACUACACCCCCACUAUACCUGAUGAAUUGGCUGAGCAUUAUCUGGCCAAAAGUGGGUUUCAGUGUCCAGAUGUACGACUUGUUAGGUUGGUAGCCGUAGCUACACAGAAGUUCAUUGCAGAUGUCGCCACUGAUGCUCUUCAGCAUUGUAAAGCAAGACAAGCUGCAGUGGUCAAAGAUAAAAGAGACAAGCUUCAAAAGGAUAAACGCCUGACUUUAGCGAUGGAGGACCUUUCAAAAGCACUGCAAGAGUAUGGUGUGAAUGUCAAACAUCAGGAGUACUUUGCUGAUAGCCCCUCCGCAGGGUUAGAUGCUGCCUCAAGGGACGAAUGAGAUACUACAAGGUGAGUGUCUUGUUCUAAUAAGAACGAUCCGACUUAGAUCCCAUACCCAGACCCAUGUUAUGUCCGGGUAUAAGGACAGGACAAUACUACUGAAUUCUAGUUCAUCCAUGUUAUAGCAACACUGUAAUAGAUAUUUCAGUCAUCAUGGGUGGUGUAACAAGGAGCCUUAGGCCUCUUACCUUGUUUGGUGCAUUGCUUCUGUAAAUCUGAAAUGCACAUUGUUAAGUUUCUUAUAUACAAGUCAGGUAAAAACAUAUGCAGCCUUGCAAACUGAUAGUUUAGAUUUUAGAUACAAAUUAGUAAUUCUAUUGUUGUACCCGCAC
rnacentral:lncRNA from 1 species